rnacentral:lncRNA from 1 species
CACAAACUCGUGUCUUCCUUUUCUUUUAUAGGAAUGACGUAAGGGAGACCUUCUUUAGAAAGUAUUGAAGGAAUCGAGACCCAGAAUCAUCCGACCAAGGCCGAAUUAACAAACUCUUUUAUGCUAUCCAAAGAUUGACCGCAGUCAUAGGACAUAACCAAGCCAACCCUUGUCAACAUCCUACCCCCAAAUACCAAAUAGUUAAAAGGUUUAUCUCUCAUAAUA